AGUGAACGCUGACGGAAAGCAUCAAACAUACAAGUAGAACGGCAGAACAGAAAGAAAAUGAAAAAAAAAGUGAAGAGAAAAGGAAAAAUGAAAACAAAAAAGAAAUAUACUUAUUCGAGGGGGAUAACGUAGGGAAACUUACGCUAAUACCGCAUACGACCUACGGGUGAAAGCAGGGGAUCUUCGGACCUUGCGCGAUUGAAUGAGCCGAUGUCGGAUUAGCUAGUUGGCGGGGUAAAGGCCCACCAAGGCGACGAUCCGUAGCUGGUCUGAGAGGAUGAUCAGCCACACUGGAACUGAGACACGGUCCAGACUCCUACGGGAGGCAGCAGUGGGGAAUAUUGGACAAUGGGCGCAAGCCUGAUCCAGCCAUACCGCGUGGGUGAAGAAGGCCUUCGGAUUGUAAAGCCCUUUUGUUGGGAAAGAAAAGCAGCAGGUUAAUACCCCGCUGUUCUGACGGUACCCAAAGAAUAAGCACCGGCUAACUUCGUG
rnacentral:rRNA from 1 species